ACACUCCUGCGGGAGGCAUCAGUGGGGAAUAUUGGACAAUGGGCGCAAGCCUGAUCCAGCCAUGCCGCGUGAGUGAUGAAGGCCCUAGGGUUGUAAAGCUCUUUCACCGGUGAAGAUAAUGACGGUAACCGGAGAAGAAGCCCCGGCUAACUUCGUGCCAGCAGCCGCGGUAAUACGAAGGGGGCUAGCGUUGUUCGGAUUUACUGGGCGUAAAGCGCACGUAGGCGGACUAUUAAGUCAGGGGUGAAAUCCCGGGGCUCAACCCCGGAACUGCCUUUGAUACUGGUAGUCUUGAGUUCGAGAGAGGUGAGUGGAAUUCCGAGUGUAGAGGUGAAAUUCGUAGAUAUUCGGAGGAACACCAGUGGCGAAGGCGGCUCACUGGCUCGAUACUGACGCUGAGGUGCGAAAGCGUGGGGAGCAAACAGGAUUAGAAACCCUAGUAGUCCCAUG
rnacentral:rRNA from 1 species